rnacentral:rRNA from 1 species
CGUAGGGUGCAGGCGUUAAUCGGAAUUACUGGGCGUAAAGCGUGCGCAGGCGGCUCCUUAAGUCAGAUGUGAAAGCCCCGGGCUUAACCUGGGAACUGCGUUUGAAACUGGGGAGCUGGAGUGUAGAAGAGGGGGUGGAAUUCCAGGUGUAGCAGUGAAAUGCGUAGAGAUCUGGAGGAACACCGAUGGCGAAGGCAGCCCCCUCGGGCUAACACUGACGCUCAUGCACGAAAGCGUGGGGAGCAAACAGGAUUAGAUACCCUGGUAGUCCACGCCCUAAACGAUGUCAACUGGUUGUCGGGGAAGUAAUUCCUUGGUAACGAAGCUAACGCGUGAAGUUGACCGCCUGGGGAGUACGGCCGCAAGGCUA